AACGAACGCUGGCGGCAUGCCUAACACAUGCAAGUCGAACGAGACCUUCGGGUCUAGUGGCGCACGGGUGCGUAAAGCGUGGGAACCUGCCCUUAGGUUCGGAAUAAAUCCCCGAAAGGGGUGCUAAUACCGGAUAAUGUCUUGGGACCAAAGAUUUAGCGCCUUUGGAUGGGCCCGCGUGGGAUUAGCGCGUUGGUAGGGUAAAAGCCUACCAAGGCGACGAUCCAUAGAUGGUCUGAGAGGAUGCUCAGCCACACUGGGACUGAGACACGGCCCAGACCUCCGCGGGGAGCAGCAGUGGGGAAUAUUGGACUAUGGGCGAGCGUCUGAUCCAGCAGUGCCGCGUGAGUGAUGAAGGUCUUAGGGUUGUACAGCUCUUUUACCCGGGAUGAUAAUGACAGUACCGGGAGAAUAAGCACCGGCUAACUCCGUG
rnacentral:rRNA from 1 species